AUUGAACGCUGGCGGCAGGCCUAACACAUGCAAGUCGAACGAGCGGCGGACGGGUGAGUAAUGUAUGGGAAACUGCCCGAUAGAGGGGGAUAACUACUGGAAACGGUAGCUAAUACCGCAUACUAUCGGAUGAACCCAUAUGGGAUUAGCUGGUAGGUGGGGUAACGGCUCACCUAGGCGACGAUCCCUAGCUGGUCUGAGAGGAUGAUCGGCCACACUGGGACUGCGACACGGCCCAGACUCCUACGGGAGGCAGCAGUGGGGAAGAUUUCACAAUGGGCGCAAGCCUGAGGCAGCCAUGCCGCGUGUAUGAAGAAGGCCUUAGGGUUGUAAAGGACUGUCAGCGGGGAGGCGUUACCCGCAGAAGAAGCACCGGCUAACUCCGUGCCAGCAGCCGCGGUAAUAC
rnacentral:rRNA from 1 species